AAAGAUUUAGUUUAUAGAGAAUUUUCUACUGUUAAUUGAAAGGUGUAUUUAAGUACAGUCUUUU
rnacentral:tRNA from 1 species